CACGCAGGCGGUUUUUAAGUCAGAUGUGAAAGGUACCGGCUCAACCGGUGACAUGCAUUUGAAACUGAAAGACUUGAGUAUUGGAGAGGCAAGUGGAAUUCCUAGUGUAGCGGUGAAAUGCGUAGAGAUUAGGAGGAACACCAGUGGCGAAGGCGGCUUGCUGGACAAUACUGACGCUGAGGUGCGAAAGCGUGGGGAGCAAACA
rnacentral:rRNA from 1 species